rnacentral:rRNA from 1 species
CGCGCAGGCAGUCGCGCAAGUCGGUUGUGAAAUCCCCUGGCUUACCCAGGGAACUGCAUCCGAUACUGCGUGACUUGAGUCCGGGAGAGGAGAGUGGAAUUCCCAGUGUAGCGGUGGAAUGCGUAGAUAUUGGGAGGAACACCAGUGGCGAAGGCGGCUCUCUGGACCGGUACUGACGCUGAGGCGCGAAAGCUAGGGGAGCAAACA